AAAUUGAAGAGUUUGAUCAUGGCUCAGAUUGAACGCUGGCGGCAGGCCUAACACAUGCAAGUCGAACGGUAACAGGAAGCAGCUUGCUGCUUCGCUGACGAGUGG
rnacentral:rRNA from 1 species